rnacentral:tRNA from 2 species
GGGCCCGUAGCUCAACUGGUAGAGCAGUUCCCUCUUAAGGAAUUGGUUCAGGGUUCGAGUCCCUGCGGGCUCA